AUAUUAACGAUAACUUAAUCAAUUAUUAUAUAGUUGAAAAAUAAAUGUCACGCAGUUUUCUACAAAAUUAAAAGCAACGUACACGGCGCAUAGAUCCGAACGAUCUCGGUAGCAAACAAGCUGGCGAAGAUAGCGGGAGAUAAGCAUCGAAAUGCUGUGCAAAACGGGAACGCGAAUAAUCGGGAGUCGGGUGUUUUGUUCUUCCGCAGGUUUGACGGACUGACAGGCUCUAAUCGUGGAGACGGGGCAGGCAAUUAUCGAUGGCAAAACCGGCAAUUAUCAUCCUGCGUGCCGGUUACCUAUGUUCAGUUAGUUGGUUUGUUAGUACACACGGCAUGGUGUAAGUCACAUCUGCAUUAGUUGCACAAUUAUUCGUGGUGUGAGCUUGCCAUUACUACUAACUGAUCAUUCACGUCAGGAAGUUGUUAUAUUUUGUCCACUUUCGGUUUGGUCGAAACGCAAACUUUGCAGGAAUAAAGACAUCGGAGUUGGAAUUGAUUGGCAAGUACUGGCACGAAUGUUAGACUUGUAUGUUGUUAAAUAAAGUAAU